UGUCCACAUGCACUAAUAGGUCCUCACACAUUGACCUAUCACAUUUUAGAAUUUUCUCACAUAAGUCCUAUUGACUAAAUUCUCCUGAAAUCAACCAAAUUGAAGCUUGAAAUUUUCACACCUUCAUAAUUACAUAUUCUAGACAAUAAGUAUCACAUUCAAACAUUUCGGUGACUCGGUUUAGCGGUCCCGAAACUACUUCCCGACUAGGGUCAACUUUGGG
rnacentral:lncRNA from 1 species